GUGAAAAUAAGAUGUCAAUUUUAGUGUCUUUUGAUCAUCAGCAGAGACAGCCAUCAGCAAAAUAUUUACAUUUUCAGUGAUGAUUAUGGAUGAGGAUGCAUUAAUCAAGAGUGCUUUAUAUUUUAUAAGCUAAAUUAACAAAGAGAAAUUGUAUCUGUAGUUUCAUUAGGACUAGAAAGUGCCAAAAUCUGACCUCUAAGCAUGCCAAUAAUGAUUGGAAACCGUAAAAAUCAAGGCCUUAUGCCCUGAUAUUAAUUUAUUUUACCUAGUUUUUCAGUUAAUUCCUGCCAGUACUCCCAUUGAUGAUAGGAGCAAAGGAAUGCCCCAAAGCCUCCACAACUGUUAGAUUUGCAUGUGGAAGAGGAAUUGGAGAGUGGAUUAAAAAGAACUACCUGCGGUGCUGGUAACUGUUGUAAAUUUUUGUCUUUUUUUCCAUGAUCAUUCUUGAUGUUAUUGUGAGGUCUGUCUGUCCCUUUAGAGCAAUGCAAUCUGCUUAAAAUUGUGUCCAGCUGCUCCACAUUAUUCCAGCAUCCAUCGAACAUCCUUUUGAAUCAAUAUAUUUACUUCCUGCUCCUUACUUCUCCCUCCCCUACCCCCCCAAAAAACAAACAAACAAACAAAACCACACACCUCCAUGAAUAAGGCAGUACUAUUUUCUAAAAUGUUUUUUAUGGCCUAGUUUCCAAGGUGGCAAGAGGAAAAUUGCUCCUGAUUCUUAAUUUAGUUCAUCAGUUGAAAGAUGCCUUCAGCUGAGCUGGUAAGAAACAAGUAUCAGGCUGUGUAGAAACUGAUCCUUCCAGCAUUGUUUGUUCACUGUGGAUAAGGCAGAAUCAAAUCUAAACCAUAUGGGCCAAAACAAUUAAUCGCCAUUAUUAAGUCCAUGAAAAUAACUUGAAGCCUGUACUGACAGGACAAGACAUCAGAUACACUCAGGCAUGGUGGGAUUGUGAGGAAGCCAUUCAGGAGAAUUACAAGAAACAGCUGGAGGACCUAUAAGAAUGUUUUCUUUCUUACACAAGUUAAUUAAAAAUGUAGAAAGCAUUUUUUUUCUGUAGAAAAAAAAAAAAAAAAAACUCUAGAAAAAUGACAUUUCUAAUUUUCUUCUGUAAGAAGAAAUUGCUUCUUCGUGUGUGUAUCCCAGUAGUCCCAAAGUCUCUAUAGAGAGCCAGAAGAUUUAUAUUUGAGUGAAAGCAACUGCAUCACAUAUAGGAGCUUGCAAAAGUACAGUAAACAUCCUUCAAACAAAUUCUCAUGUGCUCUGACUACAAAGUGAAUGAAAAGCAAUACACAGGGUUGGAAAGAAACCACAUUUCUAAGUUGGUUUCAAUAGACUCUUAGUUUUCCCAGUGUAUUAGUACUCACUCUGAGUCUGCUACAUCCUGCUUUCUCCCCCACAACACAGCUGAA
rnacentral:lncRNA from 1 species